rnacentral:lncRNA from 1 species
GAUUCAGAAAGUGAUAAGGCAGUAAGAAUCGAAAUGAAUUAUUUAAAGUGUUAUGUGCAUACUUGCUAAACUUUGUUAUUUGAGGGACUUAGAUUAUUAAAAGACGGGCAGAAUCUAAACAAAUUGAUUACAAGUUCGGCGACUGAUAGUAUAAACAGUGAGUGGAGCGAAUCAUAUUCAUUUAGAAACUCCUAUUGGCAUGCUUUCUAUACAUUGAUGAUUUUAAAACCUUAUAGACGUGUGUCGAAAUACAAAAGAACCUUAUGG